ensembl:lncRNA
AAGAGUGGGAAGGGAGGAGGAGGGGGAAAAGAGUGAAGGGUUGAGAUCCAGGAAGAAGAAGGAUGCAGAAUAUGCUCUUCUCAGUUAGUGUACUUGUUCAGUACCUGGAAAAAAGAGACCCCUCUUGUCUUCAAGUGUACCUUUCUGCAAGAAAAAGUUAUAACAUGCUAUGGGAAUGACCAGCUAAGGCAUCAAAAGCAAUUUUGACUUAAGGUUAUUUCUAUAUUGCAUAAGAUUUGAAUAAUACCAAAUGUUUGUCUGUAUAAUGUGGUUCGUGUUCUUACAAAACUGCCAUUCACCAAGCUGGGACCAUACUUGCUUAUACUAAUGCCAGGAGCAAAUUUUCACCCAAGAAAGCUGAUUGAGAACCUCAAGUAAAAGAUAUUAUUAUGCCUAUGCACACAUUGCUUUUGGUUCUGUGAUACUUCAUAGAAAUUUUGCUAAAAUGCAAAGGCUUUGAAAUGAAACACAGAAAGAGAGAAAGUUUCUUGGCUUCCCUUGGUCACUGUGAUAUGAUGUUCCUGAGGAAAAGUCCUGAAAAUUUCAACAGUGCCAAUAGAAAUGUAGCAGUAAUACAAGCUGAGGGGUUUGAGGAGAAAUGAAAAAUGGUUUAAUUGUCUGCUAAAUGUUACAAAAUGAACAAUAAGUGACUGGUUUUACAGAUUUCUAGCAAGGCUUUUGCAUCAGAGGAGUUUGUACUGAUUGUGUGAACAAAGAUACCUCAGUACAGAUUGCAAAAUCAAACAUGUAGCUUUAAAAGUUACCUCAUAUGAAAACGUGGCCUAUCUCCGUAGAUAUUUCUGUUCUCAGGUGGUGGGAGAGGGGCUUAUUUACAAGUUAUUUGGUCUGGAAACCUGCAAUGCAUUUUUUUUUUUUUCUCCUCAUUAUGAUUUUUUGAGCUUUGUCAAGAGAAAGAGUGGACUAUGGGAAGUAUUACACUUCAUAAGUGAGUAUAUGCAAGUAAAUGGUAUGAAACCAAGGGUUCUGGUGCCUUUACAGCUUUAGCAUUGUUAAAUAUGUUCAUGAAAAACAUUAAUUAUAAUGUAAUUAUGAUCGUUAACUAUUAUAUUAUUACUUAAGAGGCAGGUGUUACAAUAAUGUCAUGCUCUCCUAAUACAUUGUAAUUUUUAAUAUAUAUUUUUUACUGCACUCAAUUUAUGCACAUUCAUGAAUAAAUAUAUAUUUCAAAU